rnacentral:rRNA from 1 species
AACGAACGCUGGCGGCAGGCUUAACACAUGCAAGUCGAGCGCCCCGCAAGGGGAGCGGCAGACGGGUGAGUAACGCGUGGGAAUCUACCGAGCCCUGCGGAAUAGCUCCGGGAAACUGGAAUUAAUACCGCAUACGCCCUACGGGGGAAAGAUUUAUCGGGGUUUGAUGAGCCCGCGUUGGAUUAGCUAGUUGGUGGGGUAAUGGCCUACCAAGGCGACGAUCCAUAGCUGGUCUGAGAGGAUGAUCAGCCACAUUGGGACUGAGACACGGCCCAAACUCCUACGGGAGGCAGCAGUGGGGAAUAUUGGACAAUGGGCGCAAGCCUGAUCCAGCCAUGCCGCGUGAGUGAUGAAGGCCUUAGGGUUGUAAAGCUCUUUCACCGACGAAGAUAAUGACGGUAGUCGGAGAAGAAGCCCCGGCUAACUUCGUGCCAGCAGCCGCCGUAAUAC